UGAAAGGAGCCACUGCCUGAACCCCCAGUU
rnacentral:piRNA from 1 species